UGGGGCGUAGCCAAGCGGUAAGGCACCGGGUUUUGAUCUCGGCAUGCGUAGGUUCGAAUCCUACCGCCCCAGCCA
rnacentral:tRNA from 1 species